rnacentral:piRNA from 1 species
UCUUGUGCCUUGAGAGUGACAUCUUUC